rnacentral:rRNA from 1 species
AUUGAACGCUGGCGGCAGGCUUAACACAUGCAAGUCGAGCGGAGAUGAGGUGCUUGCACCUUAUCUUAGCGGCGGACGGGUGAGUAAUGCUUAGGAAUCUGCCUAUUAGUGGGGGACAACAUUCCGAAAGGAAUGCUAAUACCGCAUACGUCCUACGGGAGAAAGCAGGGGAUCUUCGGACCUUGCGCUAAUAGAUGAGCCUAAGUCGGAUUAGCUAGUUGGUGGGGUAAAGGCCUAUCAAGGCGACGAUCUGUAGCGGGUCUGAGAGGAUGAGCCGCCACACGGGGACUGAAGCACGGCCCAGACUCCUACGGGAGGCAGCAGUGGGGAAUAUUAGACAAGGGGAGAACCCCUGAUCCAGCCAUGCCGCGUGUGUGAAGAAGGCCUGAUGGUUGUAAAGCACUUUAAGCGAGGAGGAGGCUACUGAGACUAAUACUCUUGGAUAGUGGACGUUACUCGCAGAAUAAGCACCGGCUAACUCUGUGCCAGCCGCCGCGGUAA